rfam:Schistosoma rodhaini strain Burundi genome assembly, scaffold: SROB_scaffold0025331
AUCCAGCUGACGAGUUCCAAAUAGGAAGAAACGUGCGUUCUACAU